rnacentral:rRNA from 1 species
UACGUAGGGUCCGAGCGUUGUUCGGAAUUAUUGGGCGUAAAGAGCUCGUAGGCGGCUUGUCGCGUCUGCCGUGAAAGUCCGGGGCUCAACUCCGGAUCUGCGGUGGUUACGGGCAGACUAGAGUGAUGUAGGGGAGACUGGAAUUCCUGGUGUAGCAGUGAAAUGCGCAGAUAUCAGGAGGAACACCGAUGGCGAAGGCAGGUCUCUGGGCAUUAACUGACGCUGAGGAGCGAAAGCGUGGGGAGCGAACAGG